AGCUCUUCCGGCUUUCUCCCUUUAGCCCCACCCGUUUUCCCUUCAUUCCACCGGAAUUAAGAAAUCCUUGCGCCAAUCCAGGUGUGUCGUUCUGGUUGAUAACUCUUGGUCCGGAAGGUCUGAGGUAAAAACGGGAAAGAUCGCAGAAUAAAGGCAGCCGUCGGGUCAUUAGCUGUCGCACCACCCUCAGUAUGGGCUACAACGCAGCUCUCCAACCUUCUUUGGUUCUAGACCGCCCUAGGGAAAAAGCUAGGUCGCGUACGAGCCAGACUAAGGAAAAGGGGGCAUAUUGAAACUGGGAAUCUGUUGGUACAGUGGGUGGCUUGAACGGGUGAAGCAAAAUGGACAGAAGGGUAACUACGUAUUUAGAAGAAAGGAUUAAUCGCGUGUGGUGACGCAGCGGCGUCGCUAUGACAGUUUCACUUGCAUCGCUCGGUUUUGUUGUAUUAUGAAUCUGCCCAGGCGGCUAAUACGGAUGAAAACGCCACCAGUCCUAAAUUACGUAAUGGAGAGGAGAGAGAUAGACCUUCAUAAAGAGGUGCUGAGACUAAGCACUGACUUUUCCGCUGUAUGUGGACGAUCAGCAAGGCACACUUUGGGCUCACCGUUUCCCUCCAUGAUCUCUGUACUGAUGCCUGGGGGCGCAGAGGUGGGAAGAAGGGGUAAUUGUACAGGAUUUAGUGAUUCAGGGCCCCUUACCCUGAUGAAUAAGAGGAAAGUCCAAUACAUUACUCUUGAUAUAUUGAGAUGACCAUGUGGAUUUUGUACUUUAUUAAUAUAUUUCUUUCAUUGAUUUUCAUAAUGUGUAAACAAGCUUGUAUUUCUGGGAUGCUUCCCACUUCACCAUGGUGUAACAUGUGUAUAUAUGUACCUAUACAUGUGUGUAUAUAUACGUACAAAACUUUACGUAAAGGGUUGUUUCGCUUUGUAAUUUGUUCCUUCUUUGUAACUAACUACUAGCAUAAAUCCAUGGAAGAUGCAGAUAUGCUAUUGAUAGAGAUGUCGUUAGUAAUUAUUACCAUAAUCAAGUCUUCAAAACAUAUCUCCCAAAUGAUAUUCUGAAAAGAAAAUAUUUAGUAGAUUAGUUGGUCAAGAUCAUCAAAAAGGAAGUGAAAAUGGAAAUCUCAUCCCUAGCAAAAUGUGCUUUGUGCCCCAAACCUGCCUGCGUGUAAUAAUUACAAGCAAAACAUUAUAGAGGCCUUAUUUUUGCUUCCUGCUUCUUGCCUUACUGUUUCCAUGAAGGGUCUUGAAUAUGGGUGAUACUUAGACACCAGUCUUUUUAUUUAUUUAUUUAUUUUUUGGUAAAUAUAUUUACUGAAAUAUACAUACAUCCUGUAAAGUUCAGAGCUCAAGUUUUUACUAAGUAUGUACAUUUCAGAGAUCAUAUUCUAAACUUCGUGUUUAGAUCUGAGCUAGGUCUAUCCUGUUCCACAGAUUUGAAUAACUUUACCUAACUCUGUGGAACAAGACUAUGAACACCCAAGUUUGCAGAUUUCCUUUCUAAAAUCUACAGAAAUGAUAUGAAGGGGUAUUUGUGGUUGUCGCAGGUAUAGUAUUAUGUAACAGCUGAAGGACAGUGAGCGUGGGAAUUCCAUUUAUUUUUCUAUUGUCAUAAGCAAGCUUGCUCUUUCUGUGUAGGGGGUAGGAACGGAUAUUGCCUUAUCAUUCAGGGUUUCUAAGAAAUGACUUAGGAAUAAAAAAAAAGGCAAAUGACAUGGG